rnacentral:rRNA from 1 species
UACGUAGGGGCCUAGCGUUGUCCGGAUUUAUUGGGCGUAAAGGGCGCGCAGGCGCCACGCACGUCCGUUGUGAAAUCGCCCGGCUCAACUGGGCGGGUCGGCGGAUACGGCGUGGCUGGAGCAAGCUAGGGGGUAGUGGAAUUCCCGGUGUAGUGGUGGAAUGCGUAGAUAUCGGGAGGAACACCAGUGGCGAAGGCGGCUACCUGGGGCUUUGCUGACGCUGAGGCGCGAAAGCGAUGGGGAGCGUAGGCCGCG